rnacentral:rRNA from 1 species
AGAGUUUGAUCCUGGCUCAGGAUGAACGCUGGCGGCGUGCUUAACACAUGCAAGUCGAGCGAAGCAGUUAAGUUGAUUUCUUCGGAUUGAUUCUUAACUGACUGAGCGGCGGACGGGUGAGUAACGCGUGGGUGACCUGCCCCAUACCGGGGGAUAACAGCUGGAAACGGCUGCUAAUACCGCAUAAGCGCACAGAGCUGCAUGGCUCGGUGUGAAAAACUCCGGUGAUAUGGGAUGGGCCCGCGUCUGAUUAGGCAGUUGGCGGGGUAACGGCCCACCAAACCGACGAUCAGUAGCCGGCCUGAGAGGGCGACCGGCCACAUUGGGACUGAGACACGGCCCAAACUCCUACGGGAGGCAGCAGUGGGGAAUAUUGCACAAUGGGGGAAACCCUGAUGCAGCGACGCCGCGUGAGCGAAGAAGUAUUUCGGUAUGUAAAGCUCUAUCAGCAGGGAAGAUAAUGACGGUACCUGACUAAGAAGCCCCGGCUAACUACGUGCCAGCAGCCGCGGUAAUACGCAGGUGGCAAGCGUUGUCCGGAAUUACUGGGUGUAAAGGGAGCGUAGGCGGGCAGGCAAGUCAGGCGUGAAAUAUAUCGGCUCAACCGGUAACGGCGCUUGAAACUGCAGGUCUUGAGUGAAGUAGAGGUUGGCGGAAUUCCUAGUGUAGCGGUGAGAUGCGUAGAUAUUAGGAGGAACACCAGUGGCGAAGGCGGCCAACUGGGCUUUUACUGACGCUGAGGCUCGAAAGUGUGGGGAGCAAACAGGAUUAGAUACCCUGGUAGUCCACACCGUAAACGAUGAUUACUAGGUGUGGGGGGACUGACCCCUUCCGUGCCGGAGUUAACACAAUAAGUAAUCCACCUGGGGAGUACGGCCGCAAGGUUGAAACUCAAAGGAAUUGACGGGGGCCCGCACAAGCAGUGGAGUAUGUGGUUUAAUUCGACGCAACGCGAAGAACCUUACCAGGUCUUGACAUAGUAUGCAUAGUGUAGAGAUACACGAAGUCCUUCGAGACAUACAGACAGGUGGUGCAUGGUUGUCGUCAGCUCGUGUCGUGAGAUGUUGGGUUAAGUCCCGCAACGAGCGCAACCCUUGUAUUUAGUUGCUACGCAAGAGCACUCUAGAUAGACUGCCGUGGACAACACGGAGGAAGGUGGGGAUGACGUCAAAUCAUCAUGCCCCUUAUGACCUGGGCUACACACGUACUACAAUGGCAAUAGAACAGAGGGAAGCGACUCAGCGAUGAGAAGCAGAUCCCGAAAAAUUGUCUCAGUUCGGAUUGCAGGCUGCAACCCGCCUGCAUGAAGUCGGAGUUGCUAGUAAUCGCGGAUCAGCAUGCCGCGGUGAAUACGUUCCCGGGCCUUGUACACACCACCCGUCACACCAUGGGAGUCGGUAACACCCGAAGCCCGUAGCCUAACAGCAAUGAGGGCGCGGUCGAAGGUGGGAUUGAUGACUGGGGUGAAGUCGUAACAAGGUA